rnacentral:rRNA from 1 species
GGAAGGUGCAAGCGUUAAUCGGAAUCACUGGGCGUAAAGCGCACGUAGGCGGCUUGGUAAGUCAGGGGUGAAAUCCCACAGCCCAACUGUGGAACUGCCUUUGAUACUGCCAGGCUUGAGUACCAGAGAGGGUGGCGGAAUUCCAGGUGUAGGAGUGAAAUCCGUAGAUAUCUGGAGGAACACCGGUGGCGAAGGCGGCCACCUGGACGGUAACUGACGCUGAGGUGCGAAAGCGUGGGUAGCAAACAGGAUUAGAUACCCUGGUAGUCCACGCUGUAAACGAUGGGUGCUGGGUGCUGGGAUGUAUGUCUCGGUGCCGUAGCUAACGCGAUAAGCACCCCGCCUGGGGAGU